CCAGCUUGCUGGGUGGAUUAGUGGCGAACGGGUGAGUAACACGUGAGUAACCUGCCCUUAACUCUGGGAUAAGCCUGGGAAACUGGGUCUAAUACCGGAUAGGAGCGUCCACCGCAUGGUGGGUGUUGGAAAGAUUUAUCGGUUUUGGAUGGACUCGCGGCCUAUCAGCUUGUUGGUGAGGUAAUGGCUCACCAAGGCGACGACGGGUAGCCGGCCUGAGAGGGUGACCGGCCACACUGGGACUGAGACACGGCCCAGACUCCUACGGGAGGCAGCAGUGGGGAAUAUUGCACAAUGGGCGAAAGCCUGAUGCAGCGACGCCGCGUGAGGGAUGACGGCCUUCGGGUUGUAAACCUCUUUCAGUAGGGAAGAAGCGAAAGUGACGGUACCUGCAGAAGAAGCACCGGCUAACUACGUGCCAGCAGCCGCGGUAAUACGUAGGGUGCGAGCGUUAUCCGGAAUUAUUGGGCGUAAAGAGCUCGUAGGCGGUUUGUCGCGUCUGUCGUGAAAGUCCGGGGCUUAACCCCGGAUCUGCGGUGGGUACGGGCAGACUAGAGUGCAGUAGGGGAGACUGGAAUUCCUGGUGUAGCGG
rnacentral:rRNA from 1 species